rnacentral:tRNA from 1 species
AAGAGAUUAAGAUAUGGGAGUAGCUGCUAACUAAUUUCUAAAGCGGUUUAAUUCCGUUUGUCUCUUA